GACGAACGCUGGCGGCGUGCCUAAUACAUGCAAGUCGAGCGCAGGAAACUGACGGAACUCUUCGGAGGGAAGGCAGUGGAAUGAGCGGCGGACGGGUGAGUAACACGUAAGGAACCUGCCUCAAGGAUUGGGAUAACUCCGAGAAAUCGGAGCUAAUACCGGAUAGUUCAACGGACCGCAUGGUCCGCUGAUGAAAGGCGCUCCGGCGUCACCUUGAGAUGGCCUUGCGGUGCAUUAGCUAGUUGGUGGGGUAACGGCCCACCAAGGCGACGAGGCAUAGCCGGCCUGAGAGGGUGAUCGGCCACACUGGGACUGAGACACGGCCCAGACUCCUACGGGAGGCAGCAGUAGGGAAUCUUCCACAAUGGACGAAAGUCUGAUGGAGCAACGCCGCGUGAGUGAUGAAGGUCUUCGGAUCGUAAAACUCUGUUGUAAGGGAAGAACACGUACGAGAGGAAAUGCUCGUACCUUGACGGUACCUUACGAGAAAGCCACGGCUAACUACGUGCCAGCCGCCGCAGUAAAAC
rnacentral:rRNA from 1 species